rnacentral:rRNA from 1 species
GACCUGGCUGGGUGGUUUCGCCGAAAGGUAAGCACUGCUCUGGUCGGGUCUUUCCUUCUGGGGAACCAACGUGCUCUUAAUUGAGUGCGUUGGGGAUCCAGGACUUUUACUUUGAAAAAAUUAGAGUGUUUAAAGCAGGCCGAUGCGCUUGAAUACAUUAGCAUGGAAUAAUAAAAUAGG